rnacentral:rRNA from 1 species
GAUGAACGCUGGCGGCGUGCCUAAUACAUGCAAGUCGAGCGAACAGAUGAGAAGCUUGCUUCUCUGAUGUUAGCGGCGGACGGGUGAGUAACACGUGGGUAACCUACCUAUAAGACUAGGAUAACUCCGGGAAACCGGGGCUAAUACCGGAUAAUACUUUGAACCGCAUGGUUCAAUAGUGAAAGACGGUUUCGGUUGUCACUUAUAGAUGGACCCGGGCCGUAUUAGCUAGUUGGUAAGGUAACGGCUUACCAAGGCGACGAUACGUAGCCGACCUGAGAGGGUGAUCGGCCACACUGGAACUGAGACACGGUCCAGACUCCUACGGGAGGCAGCAGUAGGGAAUCUUCCGCAAUGGGCGAAAGCCUGACGGAGCAACGCCGCGUGAGUGAUGAAGGUCUUCGGAUCGUAAAACUCUGUUGUUAGGGAAGAACAAAUUUGUUAGUAACUGAACAAGUCUUGACGGUACCUAACCAGAAAGCCACGGCUAACUACGUGCCAGCAGCCGCGGUAA